ACUGGAGUGGGGGAAGGACUCGGUCUGACAUGAGCAUUUCUUGGGCAGAGCAGGGAAGGGAGAAGUCAGAGAAGGCUCUUGAGAAUUGAAAUAAUCAAAGUUCUUUCCAACUCUGCUGGGAAUUCUUCUCGUCCUUGGGUUCUCCCAGUCAACCACCAUCCACCAUCUUGGAAGGUGGCCCAACUGAUGGAGCUCCAAGGAGAUCCAAUGACAUUUACUUUCCCAGCCCAGAGACACUGCAAUAGGGGUGUGUCUCCAGCUGCGGUGUUGUUUUCCUAAUGGUCCUGUUGGGAAAAGGGAGGAAGGAAGAGAUGUAUAACUUGUCAAAUCCUACACCUGAUUUACAAUCCAGCCGUGUUCACUAUAUUUGUACCUGUUCAGGACCUGACUCCAGUGCCUCACAUGGGCUGAGUGUGGCCACAGGGUGAACAGGAAGCCCUGCCUUGAGUUUCCAGGGGAACCGUGAGGAAGAUGAAACUUUUCUUUAAACAGCACUGGCCUCCCCAUGUCAUCUCUGGGUCACCUUUACAAGGAAACCUCGGCACAGGCAAUCGGAAAGGAGAAAAUGAACAUUUCUGCUGAGCGAGGUGAAAGUCAGAGACGGGGAGCUUAGUGUCCUGGGGAAGACUGGGGCUGGACCACCUGCAUGUGCGUGAGUGCCAGGCCCGCCACCUGCUCAGCUGUUCCCACCCUGAGAUGCCCUUCCCCACCUGCAGAACAGAGUUCUGGAAG